CCUACGGGGGGCAGCAGUGGGGAAUAUUGGGCAAUGGGCGCAAGCCUGAACCAGCAAAGCAGCGUGAAGGAAGAAGGCCUUCGGGUUGGAAACUUCCUUUGACAGGGAAGAGUAGAAGACGGUACAUGUCGAAUAAGCUACGGCUAACUACGUGCCAGCAGCCGCGGUAAUACGUAGGUGGCAAGCGUUGUGCGGAUUUACUGGGUGUAAAGGGCGUGUAGGCGGGUUGACAAGUCAUAUGUGAAAUCCUGCGGCUUAACCGCAGAACUGCAUUUGACACUGGUGUUCUUGAGUACUGGAGAGGCAGGCGGAAUUCGUGGUGUAGCGGUGAAAUGCGUAGAUAUUAGGAGGAACACCAGUGGCGAAGGCGGUCUGCUGGACAGUAACUGACGGUGAUGCGCGAAAGCGUGGGGAGCAAACAGGAUUAGAUACCCGGGUAGUC
rnacentral:rRNA from 1 species